CGUAGGGUGCGAGCGUUAAUCGGAAUUACUGGGCGUAAAGCGUGCGCAGGCGGUUAAAUAAGACAGAUGUGAAAUCCCCGGGCUUAACCUGGGAACUGCGUUUGUGACUGUGUGACUAGAGUACGGCAGAGGGGGGUGGAAUUCCUGGUGUAGCAGUGAAAUGCGGAGAUAUCAGGAGGAACAUCGAUGGCGAAGGCAGCCCCCUGGGCCUGUACUGACGCUCAUGCACGAAAGCGUGGGGAGCAAACAGG
rnacentral:rRNA from 1 species